UUGAGCCGUGUGCCGCGACGAGUGGCACGCACGGUUCUGAGGGGCCCAGUGCAGCAAUGCACCGGGGCUACCCGGC
rnacentral:ncRNA from 1 species